GAGGGAUUUAGUGUAGGUCAGCAGAACUUCAAAAGAAAGGAGAGUUUUAGGUAUAAUUUCUUCAAAACUCCUUCUCCCUGUUUUGAGCACUUUCUCUGCUGAAACAGAAAGUAUUCUCCUUCUGCAUUUGAAUCACUCCCAUGAUUAACGAAUCACUCCAGCGGAGUCAAAUGUCCUCAGUUCAAUUACCUUUCUCAAGGACACACAGGUCAAUUGCUUCUCCUUCUCCAUAAAUAGUAAAGUCAAACGAGACUAUUUCUUGGAAUUUAACUCGAAAUAUCUUCAGCAAGAUUAAGAGUUUCACAUAGGGCCUAUGACUAAUGACAACAAUCCAUUCUGAGCUCAUUACACAAACCCGUAUACAGAACAUUUAUCCUUUCUGAAAAGAACAAUGAAGUGCUUCAGGAGAGGGGUCCCUCAGGAGCUGUGCAUAAACACCUGGAGAUUUACAGUGAAGUCAAAGAAGAAAUGGAAAAGGCCUUUGCCCUUUCUCUGCAUUUGUUGAUGGUUUCUCAUAAUAUAAAAUACUCCUUUAGCAAAGGCUAGUUCCAAGUCCUGGUCUCCAGAAACAGUGUGAUUGAUUGAUUUGGAUUGUUAUAGAAAACAAUGGUACAGGGAGAGCUGGAAUGCUUCCUUUGUUUUCUAAUGGAUUUCUCAUCCAGAUUCAUGGCAAGCCCUGAACUGAAGACAUGAUGUGCAGCAUGCUCAACUGUAAUUGCUUGGAGAGUGGCAGGAGCGCGCAGGCCUCUCGGGAGCUCCCCAGGGUGGAGCCUGCGCUGGAGGCGGGACUGGAUCCCGGCAGCCUGGAGUCCCCAGGGCGCGGCUCGCCGUUGGUUCUGUCCAUGCAAAGCCUCGCGGGCCAGAGGACACGGAAAGCGUGGCCUGGGCGGGGCCGCCUGCCCGACUCCUCAGGCAUGGAAUGGGAGGACAGGGGCAACAGAGGAGGGUGGCGGCAAGUCCUGACUUCACAGGUGUGAGUGCUCCGAGCCCUCUGUGGUUGGGGUGGGGUAAGGAAUACAAAAGCGGUGGAGGUCCUUAGUGACAUUUCCCGAAGAAGGCAGAAAUCUGUGUGGACCAGGAGAGGCGUUUUGUGUCCUUUUUUUCUUUAUAGAUGCCUCACGUGCACUAGAGCUACGGCUGCCUCCCUGGGAAUAUUCCUCUGCAGGCCUGUCCCUCACACACCAGGCCACUUCUAACAGAUGGGCCACUCCUCAACACGUGGCACCUGGGGCUGGCGUCAGUCCCAAGACGGAGGCCAAAGCUUAAACUCCCAGCAUCAGGCACGGGGCGUGUCACCCGGAUGCUAGGGACCAGCUCUCACUCCUCAGGGGUGCAAACAUAAAGUGCUGCAUUCUUGCAUAUGGACUAGUCACUGCAGCAUCACCGUGUUAGUCUAAGGCAUUAGGAGCUCCUCCUUGGCGCGGGUGUUUUGUAGCAGAGGCUGCCAGCUGGCGGGUCACCCAGAGCGGGUCGGGUCCCCAGCGACCCCACAGCCCCCGCCUUGGAACCCCCAGGCUGCCUGGGUCCUCAGGAAAGUCGCAAGGACUCCACUCAGGAACCCUGUGUGUGGUAGGCGCAGACCAGAGCAGAAACGCAGAGGGAUUUAGAAGACGCUCAGAAGAACGCAUGCAAAUGAAGUGCAUUUACCUUGCUUGGUUGUUUGGGUCUAUAUCCUAAUUCCAAUUCUUCUGAGUGAUUUGCAGGAGACUGCCCUGCGAACCUAAGCAGAAUUCCGAGAAAACCCCAUCCAGGGGUCUCUGUUCCUCACUCAGUAUCAUCUUGACUAGUGUUCUUCUCUUCAGAGAUUUACAUUAAAACGGACUCUGAUAAAGAACAGCAGCUCUGUGACAAAAUUCCACAGUGCGUGGCGGUGGCACUCCCAGGUCUGGACUUUGUGUCCUCCCGGUGAGGACCGAGUUCCUGGUCCUGUGCUGGGCCGACUGUGGGCCUUGACAAAGACACCGCCUCCACUUCCACCCAGUGGAACAUCUGUACCGUCCUGUGAAGAUUGCCAGCCUCUCUGUGAUAACAAACAAGGAAACCCUGAGGCUUAAUACAAAAUUAUACUAAUAACAGUAUGCCUCACUCAUGAGAGUCCUCUCCAGCAAGGACUCAGGGAUCCGCCUGUUUCCAACUUCCGGCUCCAGCAUCUCAACGCCAGGCUUCCACCAUUAUCAGGGUGAGCGGUGAAAUCAUUUGGAAAACUGUUCACUCUUCUGUGCUUCUCUUUGGAAGUCACGCGCUGCUUCUGCCUAAAGCCUGCUGAGCAGAACUGGCCAUUCACUUGCGUGACUGAAGUGGGUUCAGAAAUGAGGGAGAGUAAAUGGAUAUCCCGUGGUCACUAAAUACCUUUGCCAAACACAGCAUAUGCAACCUGUGUUAGUUUUCCAUUGGUGUGUAACAAAUUUCCCCCACUCCAAACAGCUUUAAACUGCAAACACUUUUUAUUUCACACGGUCUCUGAGAGUCAGGAACCUGGAAGGAGUUUUCCGGGGUUUCUGAGUCAGGGUCUCUGAUGGGAAUGCAGUCAAGUUGUCCGCUGAAAUUGCAGUUAUCCGAAUGCUUGCUUGGGCUAGGGGAUCCUCAUCCACGGUGGUACACACACACACACACACACACACACACACACACACACACACACGGUUGUUGGCAGGAGGCCUCCAUUCCUCACCAUGUGGUCUUAUAGAGCUGUGUGUGUUCUCAUGACAUGGCAGUUGUCUUCCUCUAGAGGAAGUAAUCUAGGAGAGCAAGUAGGAAGACAAUUCCUUUUAUGACCUUAUCUGGGAAAUUACACAGGCUACUUUCAUCAAAUUCUAUUCUGCAGGGGCAAAUGACUGCAUCUAACCAACACUCAAGAGGAAGAUAAUCAAACUCCACCUUUUGAAUGGAAAAGUAUCAGUCAAUUUGUGGACAUUUAUUUAAAGCACCAAAGAACUCCCCAAUAGAGGACAUCACAAAGUUCAACCCGAUCUUUGUAUUCUGCUUAAAGUUUAGGAACUUGGGGUGAUAUGAAGGCAACUCCAUCAAGCCCAAUAUGGCUACUUUUAGUCCAGAAAACUAGAUAACAAAAAGGCUCAUAAAUGAAAAGAAUGUUGUUCCCGGCUCAUAAAUGAAAGGAAUGUCUUCGUUAUUCAUAAAUCCCUUGGAUCACACCUGAAUAUGCUGACUAUGCUAACAAGACAAUUCAGGACGGGGGCUGGUAAACAGAAAGACCACACACAUGAUUAGAAGGUUGGGAAUUUGAGCAAACCUGAUUUUCUGUGAGUGAAUGGAGGGCUGGAUGUUGAGUCUAAACUGAUUGACCACAGUCAUGCCCAAUAAAAUAUCUGGACAUAAGAGCAUGGUGGGGCUUCCCAAUGGGUGCUGCAAGGGGGAUGCAUCCUGAUUUUAUGAGGAGAGGUCAUGGAAGCUCUCUAUUUGGAACUCUCCCAGAUUUCAACCCGUAUGUCUUUUCAUUUGGCAGUUCC
rnacentral:lncRNA from 1 species